rnacentral:rRNA from 1 species
AAUGAACGUUGGCGGCGUGGAUUAGGCAUGCAAGUCGAGCGAGAAUUUGCGAUUGGAAGCUUCGGCCGAAGAAAGUGAAGGAAGCGGCAAACGGCGUAGUAAGGCGUAGGUACGUACCCUCGGGUCGGGAAUAGCCAUGGGAAACUGUGGGUAAUGCCCGAUAAUCUCUGCGGAGCAAAGGUGUGAUUCCGCCGGAGGAGCGGCUUACGUGAUAUUAGCUAGUUGGUGGGGUAAUGGCCUACCAAGGCAACGAUGUCUAGGGGGUGUGAGAGCAUGGCCCCCACGACCGGAACUGAGACACUGUCCGGACACCUACGGGUGGCUGCAGUCGAGAAUCUUCCGCAAUGGGCGAAAGCCUGACGGAGCGACGCCGCGUGGUGGAUGAAGGCCCUUGGAUUGUAAACACCUGUCAGAGGGGAUGAAAUCAUGGUUGGCAAUCCUUCCAUGUUGACAGAGCCUCAGAGGAAGCACGGGCUAAGUACGUGCCAGCAGCCG